CUAAUCGAUUGCCCCCUAAGCUAAUUCUGUACAUAUAACUAUGAUUUAUAAAAAUGCUCUAACCCAGUCACCAUGAGUAUGGCUAACCUUUCUUUGAGUUGAUUAAGGUUUCCUUAGCAGGGAUCUGUGCAGCUCUGGUUUGGAGAAUAUGUUCUUGCCUGAUGUAAGUCUAAGAGGGUUAUUCACGAAAGUGUGAAUUUCAAAUUUAAGGUCAAAAUAAUCAAAUUGGGAAAGUUCUUCAAGUUAGCAAUGCUUUCAGUAGGCUAUUUUGGAAAUUACAUUUUUAAAAUUCAAUUCGAAUUUCCGACAACUCUCACUUUAGUAAAUAACUCUAUGACGUAUCCUGACAAUUAAAACUGGUUGGUAAAUGACUAAACUCUCUUCCUAAUCCCAUAGGGGUAGGUCGAAUCUGUCCAUUUUAACACUUCUA